rnacentral:rRNA from 1 species
CUACAGGCUUAACACAUGCAAGUCGAGGGGCAGCAUGGUCUUAGCUUGCUAAGGCCGAUGGCGACCGGCGCACGGGUGAGUAACACGUAUCCAACCUGCCGUCUACUCUUGGACAGCCUUCUGAAAGGAAGAUUAAUACAAGAUGGCAUCAUGAGUCCGCAUGUUCACAUGAUUAAAGGUAUUCCGGUAGACGAUGGGGAUGCGUUCCAUUAGAUAGUAGGCGGGGUAACGGCCCACCUAGUCUUCGAUGGAUAGGGGUUCUGAGAGGAAGGUCCCCCACAUUGGAACUGAGACACGGUCCAAACUCCUACGGGAGGCAGCAGUGAGGAAUAUUGGUCAAUGGGCGAGAGCCUGAACCAGCCAAGUAGCGUGAAGGAUGACUGCCCUAUGGGUUGUAAACUUCUUUUAUAAAGGAAUAAAGUCGGGUAUGCAUACCCGUUUGCAUGUACUUUAUGAAUAAGGAUCGGCUAACUCCGUGCCAGCAGCCGCGGUAAUACGGAGGAUCCGAGCGUUAUCCGGAUUUAUUGGGUUUAAAGGGAGCGUAGAUGGAUGUUUAAGUCAGUUGUGAAAGUUUGCGGCUCAACCGUAAAAUUGCAGUUGAUACUGGAUAUCUUGAGUGCAGUUGAGGCAGGCGGAAUUCGUGGUGUAGCGGUGAAAUGCUUAGAUAUCACGAAGAACUCCGAUUGCGAAGGCAGCCUGCUAAGCUGCAACUGACAUUGAGGCUCGAAAGUGUGGGUAUCAAAGAGGAUUAGAUACCCUGGUAGUCCACACGGGUAAACGAUGAAUACUCGCUGUUUGCGAUAUACAGCAAGCGGCCAAGCGAAAGCGUUAAGUAUUCCACCUGGGGAGUACGCCGGCAACGGUGAAACUCAAAGGAAUUGACGGGGGCCCGCACAAGCGGAGGAACAUGUGGUUUAAUUCGAUGAUACGCGAGGAACCUUACCCGGGCUUAAAUUGCAGAUGAAUUACGGUGAAAGCCGUAAGCCGCAAGGCAUCUGUGAAGGUGCUGCAUGGUUGUCGUCAGCUCGUGCCGUGAGGUGUCGGCUUAAGUGCCAUAACGAGCGCAACCCUUGUUGUCAGUUACUAACAGGUUCCGCUGAGGACUCUGACAAGACUGCCAUCGUAAGAUGUGAGGAAGGUGGGGAUGACGUCAAAUCAGCACGGCCCUUACGUCCGGGGCUACACACGUGUUACAAUGGGGGGUACAGAGGGCCGCUACCACGCGAGUGGAUGCCAAUCCCAAAAACCUCUCUCAGUUCGGACUGGAGUCUGCAACCCGACUCCACGAAGCUGGAUUCGCUAGUAAUCGCGCAUCAGCCACGGCGCGGUGAAUACGUUCCCGGGCCUUGCACU